CCUACGGAGGCAGCAGUGGGGAAUAUUGGACAAUGGGGGCAACCCUGAUCCAGCCAUGCCGCGUGCAGGAUGAAGGCCUUCGGGUUGUAAACUGCUUUUGUACGGAACGAAAAGACUCUGGUUAAUACCUGGGGUCCAUGACGGUACCGUAAGAAUAAGCGCCGGCUAACUACGUGCCAGCAGCCGCGGUAAUA
rnacentral:rRNA from 1 species